UAGGGAAUAUUGGACAAUGGGGGCAACCCUGAUCCAGCCAUGCCGCGUGAGUGAAGAAGGCCCUCGGGUUGUAAAGCUCUUUUGUCCGGAAAGAAAAGCUUCGGGUUAAUACCCCGGGGUUCUGACGGUACCGGAAGAAUAAGCACCGGCUAACUUCGUGCCAGCAGCCGCGGUAAUACGAAGGGUGCAAGCGUUACUCGGAAUUACUGGGCGUAGAGCGUGCGUAGGUGGUUGUUUAAGUCUGAUGUGAAAGCCCUGGGCUCAACCUGGGAAUGGCAUUGGAAACUGGGCAGCUAGAGUGCGGUAGAGGGUAGUGGAAUUCCCGGUGUAGCAGUGAAAUGCGUAGAGAUCGGGAGGAACAUCUGUGGCGAAGGCGACUGCCUGGACCAGCACUGACACUGAGGCACGAAAGCGUGGGGAGCAAACA
rnacentral:rRNA from 1 species